GGUGGCUCAGUGGUAGAGCGCCUGCCUUGCAUGCUCGGGGCCCUGGGUUCGAUUCCUCAGCACCA
rnacentral:tRNA from 1 species